UACGGGGGGGGGCAAGCGUUGUUCGGAAUUACUGGGCGUAAAGGGCUCGUAGGCGGCCAACUAAGUCGGAUGUGAAAUCCCCAGGCUCAACCUGGGAACUGCGUCCGAUACUGGAUGGCUUGAAUCCGGGAGAGGGAUGCAGAAUUCCAGGUGUAGCGGUGAAAUGCGUAGAUAUCUGGAGGAAUACCGGUGGCGAAGGCGACUCUUUGGCCUGUAACUGACGCUGAGGCGCGAAAGCGUGGGGAGCGAACAGG
rnacentral:rRNA from 1 species